GCACAAUGGAGGNAAACUCUGNUGCAGCGACGCCGCGUGAGCGAUGAAGCCCUUCGGGGUGUAAAGCUCUUUCGACGGGAACGAUAAUGACGGUACCCGGAGAAGAAGCUGCGGCUAACUACGUGCCAGCAGCCGCGGUAAUACGUAGGCAGCAAGCGUUGUUCGGAAUUACNUGGGCGUAAAGAGUGUGUAGGCGGUUCUCUAUGUUCGGUGUGAAAUCUCCCGGCUUAACUGGGAGGGUGCGCCGAAAACUGGAGGGCUUGAGUAUGGGAGAGGAAAGCGGAAUUCCUGGUGUAGCNGGUGAAAUGCGUAGAUAUCAGGAGGAACACCUGCGGUGUAGACGGCUUUCUGGACCAUCACUGACGCUGAGACACGAAAGCGUGGGUAGCAAACAGGAUUAGAUACCCUGGUAGUCCACGCCCUAAACGAUGCAUACUUGGUGUGAGCCGUUCAUUCGGUUCGUGCCGGAGCUAACGCGUUAAGUAUGCCGCCUGGGGAGUACGGUCGCAAGGCUGAAACUCAAAAAAAUUGACGGA
rnacentral:rRNA from 1 species